rnacentral:rRNA from 1 species
GACGUAGGUGGCGAACGUUAUCCGGAAUUAUUGGGCGUAAAGGGUGCGUAGAUGGUCUGAUAAGUUAGCAGUGGUAAAUCGAGGCUCAACCUCGUGGAAACUGGUAAUACUGUCAGGCUUGAGUGCAGGAGAGGUUAACGGAACUCCCUGUGGAGCGGUAAAAUGUGUAGAUAUAGGGAAGAACAUCAAUAACGGCGAAGGCAGUUAACUAUUCUGCUACUGACAUUGAGGCACGAAAGCGUGGGGAGCAAAAAGG